CACGUAGGGUGCGAGCGUUUGUCCGGAAUUAUUGGGCGUAAAGAGCUCGUAGGCGGUGUGUCGCGUCGGCCGUGAAAACCUGCAGCUUAACUGUGGGCUUGCGGUCGAUACGGGCAUCACUGGAGUUCGGCAGGGAGACUGGAAUUCCUGGUGUAGCGGUGAAAUGCGCAGAUAUCAGGAGGAACACCGGUGGCGAAAGCGGCUCUCUGGGACGGGUAC
rnacentral:rRNA from 1 species